UUUUUUUUUUUUUUACCAAUAUGAGUAGAUUGAUUUGCUCAUAAACGUAAUAGAACUUUACCAAAUUCUCAAUUAUUUAUUAUAUUUGAAUAAUAUUUUCUAUAUGAAAACAAACGUCAAAAUAUCAAAACAAUUAAAUGAACAGAAUUUUUCUGAGAACUCUGUAUACAGUCUUUCAGCUAAAUAUUUUAUUUGUUUUAGUUAUAGAGUAAAUUUCUACCUAUAAAGUUUGAUAAUUUACUUUCAUAGAAAAGAUGAUAGUUGUCACAGAGGGACAGUAGGGGUUGAGAUGUGGGGAAUAAUUUGGAAUUAGUAGAAUUUAAUACUUCAAGUAGAAAUAGUCUAAGGAUCUGCUCUUCUAUAAUAGUGGGAUUUAUGGUAGAAUUAGUGACACUCGUAUAAGAAAAUGACAUUUGUGUUGAUUUAUUUCUUGGAAAUUCAAGUAAGAGGUUAUUGAAUGCUAAAGUCUUCUUCAGAAUAGAAUUGUUGGAUAGGUUUGGGGAAUUAAACAUAUUUUUGAGACAGUACUGAUAUUGGCUUUCCCAAUGACCUUUUUGCUUAUGGAAUUGAAGUAAAUGUAUCAAUAACCCCUCAGUUCGUAAAGCAUGGAGGACCUUUAGAUUUUGUUUCUAUUGGGGAUCAAUUGUUUAUCUGAAAGGCAGUAUAUUUAUCUUAGACACCAGCUUUUCAGCUUUUCUGGGUGCCUUUGAAAAUGUUCCACUACAUGAUAGAGAUACACCAGAUCAAUAAUUUCCCAUCUCAAUUUAGUCUUUCUUACCACGUUCCUAUUUUAGGUCUUAGAUUACUUAUAAAAAUAGAGGAUAGGCAUGAUUUUAUAUGAGUUGUUGAGUUUAAGUCAGCACUUUAUCUGAAAAUGUCUUGAAGUCAAUUUAUAAAGCCUCCUGUGGGUUCUUUCAUUCCUUGUUUAAAGCCUUGAAUUUUGUCACAUGAACUUUUAAAGUAAAAACAUAAGAUGGAGGUACAGAUCUAUAUAUCUAUAUCUAUAGCAAAAUAUAUAGUUUUGCUCUUUGUCUCUCUUGGGAAUUAUAUAGUUGGAUUUCUUAAAUCCUUCUUAGUUUUCUACUCUGUGGCCUUCAACCAAUUUUAUCCAUAUGAGGGACUCACAAUUAGGUAUAUUAAUUAGUGUGUCUUACAGCCCUAAAAAGCAGGUGUCAAAUAGUAGGUGAGCUUUUGAGCCAAAUAUCUUAUCUAUGCUCUUGUUUUCUUCUAUUUAAACAACUCUAAAAGGUAUAAUUUACAUACCAUAAAAUUCAUCCACCAUAAAUAUAUUAUUCAAUAACUCAUCCCAGUCCAGUGAAACCCCCGAAAUUUCCCUCAUGCCUCUUAACCCCCCUAGACUGCACCCUCCCUAGACUGAAGUGACUUCUUAUCUGCUUUGUGAAUUUAUAGUUUUAUCUUUGCUAAUACUGUCACAUAAAUGAAAUAAUUCAACAUGUCAAAUUUUACUUCUGGAUUCUUUUGCUUAAUAUAACAAAUUUGAGAUCCAUUCAUGUCAUGCAUGUAACAGCAGUUUGCUUAUUUUUAUUGCUGAGUUGUGUUACAUUCAUGGAUACCCUAUGUUCUGUUUAUUUACUCAGAUGUCGAAGGACAUUUCAGUUGUUUCUGAAUUAGGCUAACAUAAAUAAAAUGAUUACAAGUUUUUGUGUAAAGUCCUUUGUAUGAAUAUCUCCUUUCAUUUAUUUGAGUAAGGAUGAGGGAUUAGAAUCUGGUUCAUGUGGUGGAUGAGUGUUUAAUUUUUAAUGAACUACCAAUUGUAUUUUCCAAAGUAACUGUAACAUUUUACAUGCUAACUGGCAAUGUUUGAGGGUUUUAGUUUAUCCACAUCCAUGCAAAAUAUGGUCUUGUCAGAUUUUGGGUUAUAGCCAGUCUGGUGGGUGUGGAGUGGUCUUAAAUCUUGGUUUUAAUUACCAUCUUAAUUGAUCAUCUUUUCAUUCGUUUAUUAACCAUCCAUGUAUGUUUUUGGUGACAUGUCUAUUCAACAUUUUUGUUCUUUUUCCUUUUCUCUUUUUGCUUUCAGUUUUAUUGAGUUAUAAUUGACAUACAACACUGUACAAGUUCAAGGUAUAAAGCCUAAUGAUCUGAUUUAUAGACACGAAGUGAUUAUCAUAAUAAGGUUAGUAAAUAUCUGUCAUCUCAUAAAGACACAAAAUUAAAGAAUUAUUGAAAGAAAUCUUGUGACAAAAACUUGGGGUUUACCCUCUUAAUAACUUUCAUAUAUAACAUAGAGCAGUAUUCAUUAUAUUUAACAUUUUCACAUUAUAUCCCCAGGGCUUAUGUAUCUUAUAACUGAAAGCUUUUACCUUUUGACUGUCUUCAUUCAGUUCCCUUUUCCUCAAACAUCCUCCUCUGGUAACCACAACUAUUAUAUAUUUUUCUAUGAAUUUGCUUGUUUGUUUUUGAAAUAUAAUUGACCUACAACGCUAUGUUAGUUUCUGGUACACAACAUAGUGAGUCAAUACUUCUAUACCUCUCAAGCCAAUCACAACAGUAAGUUUAGUUACGAUAUGUCACCAUACAAAGAUAUUACAUAGUUAUUGACUAUAUCCCCCACACCGUGCAUUUCAUUCCUGUGACUCAUUUAUUUUGCAACUGGAAAUUUGUACCUCUCAUCUCCCUCACUCACUUCUUUCCACUCUCCACCCUCCUCCCUUCUGCCAACUGCCUGUUUGUUCUCUAUGAGUCUGUUUCUGUUCCAUUAUGUUUGUUCAUUUGUUUUAUUUAGGUUCCACAUAUAAACGAAAUCCUACAGUAUUGGUUUCUGACUUAUUUCCUGUCAGCAUAUUACUGUCUCAGUCUAUCCAUGUUCUUGAAAAUGGCAUGACUUCAUUCAUUUUUAUGGCUGAAUAAUAUCCUACUGUGUAUGUACAGGUGCCAUAUAAAUGCUUCUUUUUUUGUAUCAUUCAGCCACUUUAUGUCUUUUGAUUGGAACAUUUACUUCAUUUACAUUUAAAGUAAUUAUUGAUAGGUAUGUACUUACUGCCAUUUCGUUAAUUGUUUGGAGUUGUUUUUGUAGAUCUUGUUUUACUCCUCUCUUUUCUUCUCUUCCGUUGUGAUUUGAUGACUAUCUUUGGUGUUAUGUUUGUUUAUUUCCUGGCUGGUCAUCCCUCCCACAGCAAAUGGAGUUCCAGGCCAGGGAUCAGAUCCAAGCCACACUUGCAACCUAAGCCACAGCUGCGGCAAGGCCAGAUCAUUAACCCAGUGUUCUGGGCCAGGGCUUGAACCUGAGUCCCAGUGCUCUCAAGAUACCUCUGAUCCUGUUGUGUCACAGUGGGAACUCCCUUUUAUGUUUGGAUUCUUUCCUCAUUUUUGUGUUCAUAUCUAUUAUAGAUUUUUGGUUUGUGGUUAACCAUGAGGUUUACAUGUAGCUAGCUAUUGUAAAAGCUAUCUCCAGCUAUUCUGGAGAUAUCCUAUCCCUUAACUGCUUUAAACAUAAAUGAACUAAAUGCUUCAGAGGAGAAAAGAAGGGGAAAGGGGCUGAGAUUAUGAUCAUCACCUUGAUCUCUUUAUUGGGUAGAUUGUCUAUCUGCACUUUUGUUUUUCUUUUAUCCCUUCAUUUGGAACAUGUUUCUCUGUUGCCUCAUUUUGCCUAAUCUGCUCCUUUUAUUUCUGUGUAUCUGGUAGGUAGGUUAUGUUUUCCAAUCUCAGAAAAGUUGCCUUUUGUAGGGAACAUCUUAAGUGUUCAAGCAUUGCACACCCCUCUGGUCACCAGAACCCUAUGCUUUAGGGAUGCCCCCAUGUGACCUGUGUGGGUCUUUCUGUUGUGGUGAGUUGGCUGCUGUGGGUAGUUUUCUAGGCAUGCCUGGCCCCCAUUCUGGUUGGUUGCCAAGUCUUGCCUUGUAUAGAGACUGCUGGCCACUGGUUGUUGGGGCCAGUUCAUGAGGUGGCUGGCUGCAAAGCCUCAGGGGUUCUUGGGGCUACUGAUGGCUCACUGGUGGGUAAAACCAGGUUUCAGAGUGGGUGGUUUCAGGCUGAGGGCCCUAGAUCUAGUAUCAACCUGGUGGUGGAAGGGAUCAGUUACUGACAUGGCAGUUGUGGAGUCUGGGUUGUCUCACAGCUGCUUCUGGCCCACUGAUGAGUGCAGCUGGAUCCUGGGGCCUCUGACUGAAUAGUCUUGGUUUUUUUAGGAGAUUGUGUCAGCCUACUAGUAUGUGGGGCUGGAGUCCAGAGGCUCAUGGGGCUAGUACCAUCUCACCGGUGGGUAGAAAUCCAUAGUCCUUGUCUUUAGGACUGAUGUUCACCUGCUAGUGGUUGGGGCUGGAUCCUAAGGCUGCUAGCUGAGGGGCCAAAGUGUCCCAGAGCUGGUUUUGGCCUACUAGUGGUUAUGGCCAGGGCCCAGGGUAUCCUGGGGCUAGUGUUGCUGACCUGCUGGUAUGUGGGCCAGGUCCUGACACUGCCCGCUGCCAGGCUAAGGUGGUCCUAAGGCUGGUGCCCACCUUCUGCGAGGGAAGCCAGGUCCCUGAGCAUUCUGGGGCUAGUGCUGGUGUGCUGGUGUGUGGAGUGCGGUCCUGGGACCUCUGUUGGACGAGCUGGUUCCUGGGGUAGUUGUGGGUUCAGGGUGGUCUUAAGGCAGCAAUCGUACUGGUGUGCAGAGCUGUGUCUCUGCUGACUAACUGCUCAGCUAAAGACAUCCCUAAAUAGGUGCUGAAGGGCUGGAGGGUGAGACCAGCUCCUGGUGCUAUUAAUAAGCUAAAGGAAUAAAAGCUACCAUUGUUCCUGUGGUAGAAGGUGCUCUCAAAAAUGGCUGCUGCCAGAGAACGUGUCCUCAGGGUGUCCUCCAAUUGCCUUUGCAGAAGGCUCUCCAAGACCAGGUAGAUCUGACCCAGGCUCCUUUCAAAUGCCUGCUUCUUCCCUAGGUCCUGGGCAUGAGACUUUAUGUGCACCUAUUAAGAGUGGAGUCUCUCUUUCCCACAGCUCUCUAGCUCUCCCAGUGGUAGGCCCUGCUGGCCUUAAAGCCAAACCUUCUGGGAAUCAUCUUCUUGAUGCAGGACUUCGGGGCUAAGAGGUCCAAUGUGGGGCUCAAAUCACUGGAUCCUUGGAGAGAACCUCUGCUGUUGUAAUUAUCCUCCUGUUUGUGGAUCUCCAAAUGGGUUUUGACCAUUUUCGAGGUCAAAAUGGAUAUUGCCCAUUUUCUCUGCCUCUCCCACCUGUCUUGUCAUAUCUUCUUCAUAUUUUGAGUGGUGGAAGAUCUUUUCUACUACUCUUCCAUUCUUUCUCAUCAAUAGUUGUCUUAUAAAUUGCUGAAAUUUUGAUCUUCCCAUUAAAGGAGAUGAACUCAGGAUCUUUCUACGCCAUCAUCUUGGCCACAGUCCAUGUGUCAUGCAAACAUUUAGUCCUUUUUAAAUAUUGGGUUGUGAAGUUCCCAUUGUGGUGCAGUGGAAUCUAAUCCAUCUAGUAUCCAUGAGGUUGCAGGUUUGAUCCCUGGCCUCAUUCAGUGGGUUGGGGAUCAAGUGUUGCUAUGGGUGGUGGUGUGGGUCUCAGAUGUGGCUCAAAUCCCAUGUUGCUGUGGCUGUGGCAUAGGCUGACAGGUAUAGCCCAAUUCAGCUCCUAGCCUGAGAACUUUCAUAUGCCAUGGGUGGGGCCCUAGAAAGCAAAAAAAAAAAAAAAAAGGGGGGGGGGAUUGUGUUUCCUUUUUGUUUAGUUUUGAGAGGUUAUUUCAUAUACAGAUACAAGUUCUUCAUCAGUUAGGCAAUUUGCAAAUUUUCCAAGUGGUUUAUCUUUUUAUUUACUUAAUAGAGUUUUUCAAAGAGUGGAAGUUCUUACUUUUGUUGAAGUUCAAUUUAUCAUGUUUUUAAAAAAUGGAUUAUACAUUUGGAAGCAUAUCUAAGAACUUUUAGUCUAACCUGAGGUCAUGAAAAUGUUCUCCUGUGUUUUCUCCAAGCAAUUUUAGUUUUAGUUUGUACACUUAAUCUUUGAUCUGUUUUGAGUUAAUUCUUAUGCAUGGUAUAAGACAAAAUCCUAAGUUAAGCAAAGGAAAAAUAGUUAGCGAGGCUUGAUUAAAAUUAAAAACUUAUCAGACACAAUUUAGAAUAGAUUUACAAGGAGAUCCUGCUGAAUAGCAUUGAGAACUUUGUCUAGAUACUCAUGUUGCAACAGAAGAAAGGCUGGGGGAAUAAUGUAAUUGUAAUGUAUACAUGUAAGGAUAACCUGCCCCCCUUGCUGUACAGUGGGAAAAAAAAAAAAAAAAAAAAAAAAAAUACUUUUUCACCAAAGUAAACUAUUAAUAAAAGAAUAUAUAAGCUAUGACAAGGAAACUGUAUUUGCAAAACAUUUCUCUGACAAUGGACAACUGUUCAGGAUACAUAAAGAAUUCCUUACAACUCAGUAUUAAAAUGCAAAUAAUUCGACAAAAAUGGGCAAGAGAUUUGAAGAAACACUUCACUUAAUUAGAUAUAUAAAUGAUGAACAAGUACAUAAAGAAGUGUUCAAGUGUAUUAGUCAUUAGGUAAAUGCAGAUUAAAACCAUAAGGAUAUAUAUACUCAACAGAAUGAAUAAAAUAAAAAAGAAUGACAACACCAAACUUUGGCAUGCCUGUGGAACAACGGAGCUCUCAGGUUUGUGCUUUGUAUGGAAAUACAGAAUCACACAACACUUAGCAAAAUGUUCUGGGAAUUCUUCUGAAGAUACACAUACAUCAACCCUUUUACCCAGAAAUUCCAUACCCAGGUGUUUACUUAGGGAAAUUACAAUAGGUAUCUUCAAAAAUACUAUAUAAGAAUGUUCAUAGAAGCUUUAUUUUAAUAUCCAAAAUGAGAAAACAGUCCAAAUGUCCAUUCCUAGGAGAAUUUCAUAAAUGUAUCUGAUGUAUAAAUAUGAUAGACUACCAGUCAGUGGAACAAAUCACUGACACGCACAGCAUCUCUGAUGAAUCUCAAACACAUUGCACUAAACAUAAGAAGCUUUACUCUAAAGAAUAUGAUUCUAUAGAUAUGAAGAUCUGCAAUGGACAAAAUAAUACUAGACAAAGUAAAAAAACAAUAGUGGUUUCUGGGAGGUAUUGGAGUUGAGAUUGACAGAAAAGGAAGAUCAGAAAACACUGGGGUAAAUUUAAUGUUCUGUAAGUUGGUAGAAGUUUGGAUUUCACAGGUGCAUGUAUUUGUUAAAACUCAGUAAAUGUAAGCUUAAGAUCUGUAUAUUUCAUUGUAUAUUUACAAAAAAAUUCUUAUUGAAAGUCCGUGCUGAAGUAUUUAAGAGGAAUACUUUUUUUUUUUCCCCUGAACACCACUUAUGAUGAUUUUAUUGGUAUUGUCUUUGUCAAGUGAGAGCUUUCAAGUUGGGAUUCCCAGUUAUGUGUUCAUAUGUCUAAGAGCAAAUGAUACUUUGCUACCAUAAAUAUAACCAAUUAUCUAUAUAAUCAAUUUCACUCAAUACUGAGGAAUUUAAAACAUUGCAUUUAUUUUCAUAAAAAGGAUACGUUGUAGAAUAGAAUGCAAAUUUUCCAAGAAGGUUUCAGAUAAAUUCUGAAAAUGUGUGAGUUUAAAGACAAUUGUUUGUGUGGAGCUACUUCAAGCUCUGUCUUUACACUCCCUGAAAG
rnacentral:lncRNA from 1 species